rnacentral:rRNA from 1 species
UACGUAGGGUGCAAGCGUUAAUCGGAAUUACUGGGCGUAAAGCGUGCGCAGGCGGUUAUGUAAGACGGUUGUGAAAUCCCCGGGCUCAACCUGGGAACUGCAUCUGUGACUGCAUUGCUGGAGUGCGGCAGAGGGGGAUGGAAUUCCGGGUGUAGCAGUGAAAUGCGUAGAUAUGCGGAGGAACACCGAUGGCGAAGGCAAUCCCCUGGGCUGGCACUGACGCUCAUGCACGAAAGCGUGGGGAGCAAACAGG